rnacentral:rRNA from 1 species
AACGCGAAGAACCUUACCAGGUCUUGACAUCCUCUUGAAUAGCGUAGAGAUAGGCUAGGCCUUCGGGACAAGAGAGACAGGUGGUGCAUGGUUGUCGUCAGCUCGUGUCGUGAGAUGUUGGGUUAAGUCCCGCAACGAGCGCAACCCUUGAUCUUAGUUGCCAGCAUUAAGUUGGGCACUCUAGGAUGACUGCCGGUGACAAACCGGAGGAAGGUGGGGAUGACGUCAAAUCAUCAUGCCCCUUAUGACCUGGGCUACACACGUACUACAAUGGCCGGUACAACGGGCCGCGAUACCGCGAGGUGGAGCGAAUCCUUAAAAGCCGGUCUCAGUUCGGAUUGCAGGCUGCAACUCGCCUGCAUGAAGUCGGAAUUGCUAGUAAUCGCGGAUCAGCAUGCCGCGGUGAAUACGUUCCCGGGCCUUGUACACACCGUGUCGA